UACAGAGGGGCAAGCGUUGUUCGGAAUUACUGGGCGUAAAGGGCGCGUAGGCGGCCCGCUAAGUCGAACGUGAAAUCCCCGGGCUCAACCCGGGAACUGCGUCCGAUACUGGUGGGCUUGAAUCCGGGAGAGGGAUGCGGAAUUCCAGGUGUAGCGGUGAAAUGCGUAGAUAUCGGGAGGAACACCAGUGGCGAAGGCGGCAACCUGGACAGAUAUUGACGCUGAGGUGCGAAAGCGUGGGAGCAAACAGG
rnacentral:rRNA from 1 species